rnacentral:rRNA from 1 species
GACGAACGCUGGCGGCGUGCUUAACACAUGCAAGUCGAACGAAGUGGCGAACGGGUGAGUAACGCGUAAUCAACCUGCCCUUCAGAGGGGGACAACCGUUGGAAACGACUGCUACUCCCUCAUACUGAAGGAGGGGAUUGAGUCUGAUGAGCUAGUUGGAGGGGUAACGGCCCAACAAGGCGAUGAUAAGUAGCCGGUCUGAGAGGAUGAACGGCCACAGUGGGAAUGAGACACGGCCCAGAAUCCUACGGGAGGCAGCAGGGGGGAAUCAUCCGAAAUGGAGGAAAGUCUGAAGGAGCAACGCCGCGGGAGUGAUGACGGCCUUCGGGUUGUAAAGCUCUGUUAAUCGGGACGCGGUACCGGAAUAGAAAGCCACGGCUAACUACGUGCCAGCAGCCGCGGUAAUAC